GGGCGAUUAGCUCAGUUGGUAGAGCACCCCGUUUACACCGGGAUGGUCAGAGGUUCGAGUCCUCUAUCGCCCACCA
rnacentral:tRNA from 1 species